CUAAUAUUAAUUUUAUAAGAUUUAACUAUCUUUAUAUUACUUGAUAUAAUAAUUUAAAACUUACUGAAGAGAUAAUAUUAGUGCCCUUUUAUCUUAUCAUCAUAGUGACACGGACACAGAAUACAGACUUGAUAUCUACCAAGAAGUUCAAGAAGAACUGGCAAGAACUAGAUUAAUCAGAUGAAUACAAGAACAACACCAAAGAGGUGAGCUAGAGCUCGAAGAGAU
rnacentral:lncRNA from 1 species